AUACGAGAGGAGAGAAAAGAGAAGAGUAGCCUAAAAUGGCGUAUGAGUAUUUAUAGAGUAUCGACUUUGACGAAUCGUGCUUUACAAGGCAAAUUCAGGGUGGUUGAAUUGGGAAACACAACAAUUUAAAAUUAAACAGCGGCAACGGUGAAACUUUGCAGCAAAAGCGCGUGAAGACACCUCUUAUUGACGUGGCCACGUUCAGGGAUGGUCCCACGUGGCAAGUGCUGGUCGUUUUCCCUAACGAGCGAGCGGGGGUAGUUGCGUCCCUACAUAUAACUAGUAACCACAAAUGCAGUGAUGUGGCAGUUGAUGGAGCCAACUGUAGGGUCUCCUCCGUCGUUGCCUGAUUAGAACAAAUUAUGGGUCCGGGUCCGUGUCCGCGUGGUAGCGAAUGGACCCCGGUGAUAACAUUCUCGUUCAUUUUUAUUUUUUUUAUUUUGUUUUGGGAACAUCACGUUUCUACAUCAUUUCAUGAGGUGGUGUUUCAAAAUCAAUAAAAUAGUUUAUAUAUAUA